rnacentral:rRNA from 1 species
AAUAGAUACCCGGGUAGUCCCAGCCGUAAACGAUGAGCACUGGGUUGGGGGCCCACCGACGGGCUCCCAGCCGAAGGGAAACCGUGAAGUGCUCCGCCUGGGGAGUAUGGCCGCAAGGCUGAAACUCAAAGGAAUUGACGGGGGCUCACACAAGCGGUGGAGCAUGUGGCUUAAUUCGAGGCUACGCGAAAAACCUUAUCCCGGGCUUGACAUGCGAGGAUUAGUCGGCGGAAACGUCGGCGACGCCGCAAGGUGGAACUCGCGCAGGUGCUGCAUGGCUGUCGUCAGCUCGUGCCGUGAGGUGUUGGGUUAAGUCCCGUAACGAGCGAAACCCCUGUGACCAGUUGCCAGCGCGUCAUGGCGGGGACUCUGGUCGGACCGCCGGCGUCAAGCCGGAGGAAGGCGGGGACGACGUCAAGUCAUCAUGGCCCUUAUGCCCGGGGCCGCACACGUGCUACAAUGGGGCGGACAAAGCGUCGCCAGGCCGCGAGGCCGAGCCAAUCGCAAAAACCGCCCCUCAGUUCGGAUUGCGGGCUGCAACCCGCCCGC